AUGGGGGAGGUGCUGGGACGCGGCAACAGGGUUGGUACCACCAGCAGCACCAUCACGUUUGGCGCAGCAGUAGGUGGCCGUGUCGUCGUCCCUGAGGCUGCUCAUCUGCAGCGUGACCGUGCUCUGGCCGCUGUCCCUGGAGAUGGUGAAGCGCCCCUUGACCGACGGCGCGUAGCCGGUCCAACCACCACUGUCGGUGAUACUCGUGACCUCGUGGAGUCCGGGGGGGGUCUCCAGACCCCGGGGGGUCCCUGCGCCUCGUCUGCAAGGGCUCCGGCUUCGCCUUCGGCAGCGUCGGCAUGGACUGGGUGCGGCAGGCGCCCGGGAAGGGGCUCGAGUGGGUCGCGGGUAUUUACAGCGAUGGUGGCAGCACCUGGUACGCGCCGUCGGUCAAGGGGCGCUUCACCAUCUCCAGGGACAACGGCCAGAGCACGGUCACGCUGCAGAUGAGCAGCCUCAGGGACGACGACACGGCCACCUACUACUGCGCCAAAAAUGCUGAUGCUGAUGGUGGUUGGGGCACGUUGGCCGCAAAUAAACGAGUUUUGGGGCAAAAACCCGGACCCUUGGGCGAAGCCUGGGGCCGUGGGACACAAGCAGUUAAUUAG